AGGUAAGAAGUUCCCACUCGAGUUCACUUUGUGCCAAGUUGGAAGAAAGUGAGCACUUGGCAGGAGCACCCAUUGCCCUGGUCCUACAUGCCACUGAGAUAUAUAUCAGAUCUGACUGCCUUCCUGUGAUCGAUUCCUCUGAGGACUCUGCUUCCUGGGAGAGAUGGGAACCAACAACUUAGAUCAUCUGUGAUCAUGGGCCUGGGAUCCCAUGGAAGACACAAGAUGGAUCACCCAGAGGAGCCCCGUGUAGCCCAGACAUUGCCUGAGUCACCCUUUACUGUCUGAAGACCUGACUUGAGCCCCGCCAAUUCCACUGUCUUGAAAGUCUGAAAUUCUCCCUAGAAUUGGUGCUUGCACCCAAAUGUUUACACUCUCAGGCUCACAUAUGUCUUCAAA